UGGUUCAUUGUGAAUGGCUGAUCAAAAAAUAUAAAAUCAAUUUUUUUUUUCUUUUCAUUUUUGCUUCUUCUUCCCCGAGUCUCUCUUCUCAUCACACACAAAACGGCAAAUCGCCACCUAUUGAUACAGCAAACCGGAAAAUCACCGCGAAUCCUUUGAUUUAUCCGGCUAAAAGUGGAGGGUUGGUGGUUGAGGAAGACGAUGGCCACUCCGAUAGACUUAAGCGUGAGAUGUGACGCUUCGGUUCUCACGACGACCAACCUCCUUCUGCGGUUACUUCUGAUGGCUCUUAUGUGAACGACGAGGUCCACCGGGAGACGAAUCAGACAGAGAAGGUUUGUAUUCUCAUCACUUAAUUAUUGAUCUCGUUGUUAAUGUUAGGGUUUAGGUAAAAUUCUCUUUGAUUGUGAGAGUGGGUACUGUUUGAUGUUUAAUUGGUUUGUGAUUUGUAUGGAGGGUUUACGGGUUGGGGCUUAAAUCGAUUGUUUGUCUGAUUUACGACAGAUUUCCUUGUGUUGUGUGAGGUUGAAGCUUUGUGUUUUAGAUUGUAAAGGAUGAACUGUCUUUGUGUUUUAGAUUGUAUAGGUAAUCAUGCUUAAACUCUCCUAAUAGAACAAACAAUAACACUUUCCGAUUUAUGGUGCUUUACAAGACAGUGAACUUUUGUUGUAUAGGUUUAACCGUUUGUUGUCUUGUUUGAUUGUUGUUCAUUGUUCUAUGAUCAGAAGGUAUGAACUUCUCAUGUCUGUUUAGUAGUAUAGGGUUUAACCGUUUUUUGUCUUGUUUGAUUGUGAGAAUGUUAGAUGUUUUUUGAUUGUGACCCGUGUGUUGUUGUUAGGAGUACAGUUGAGUUUUUGCUUGAUGUUUUGUUAAUGUUAUAGUGUGAUUAACAUUCACUCUUUUGCCAUAUUUUGUACGAGGUUUAUAUCAACUGGACAAUGGGGUUUAAUUGUGAAGAGGGGUGUUCAUCAGCUUGACAUUGGGAGUGGAUUCUCGUAGUUGAAAAGAUAAACAAUGUGGGAGCUAUUCGGUCAAAGCCGACGGUGGACUAUACAGCAGAGAAUUUCUCGUUUCAUAUUUCGACCAACUUAGAAUCUGCUUAUCAUCUGAGCCAGCUUGCGCAUCCUCUGCUUAAGACUUCCGGAAGUGGGAACAUCGUGUUCAUGUCUUCUAUUGCUGGGGUUGUAUAGCUUUCUUUUGGUUCCAUCUACUCUGCAACAAAAGGUAAUAUACUAAAUUAUGGAAGAACACAAAAAAAACCUCUCUGUUUCUUUUUAUCUUACAAUAGUUUUCACAUGUAAAUAUAACAAAGCCAUAAAAAAGAAACCUUUAUUUUGAA